rnacentral:rRNA from 1 species
AGUGAACGCUGGCGGUAGGCCUAACACAUGCAAGUCGAACGGCAGCACAGUAAGAGCUUGCUCUUACGGGUGGCGAGUGGCGGACGGGUGAGGAAUACAUCGGAAUCUACUUUUUCGUGGGGGAUAACGUAGGGAAACUUAUGCUAAUACAGCAUAUGACCUACGGGUGAAAGCAGGGGAUCUUCGGACCUUGCGCGAUUGAAUGAGCCGAUGUCGGAUUAGCUAGUUGGCGGGGUAAAGGCCCACCAAGGCGACGAUCCGUAGCUGGUCUGAGAGGAUGAUCAGCCACACUGGAACUGAGACACGGUCCAGACUCCUACGGGAGGCAGCAGUGGGGAAUAUUGGGCAAUGGGCGCAAGCCUGAUCCAGCCAUGCCGCGUGGGUGAAGAAGGCCUUCGGGUUGUAAAGCCCUUUUGUUGGGAAAGAAAAGCAGCAGGAUAAUACCCCGCUGUUCUGACGGUACCCAAAGAAUAAGCACCGGCUAACUUCGUG